UAUAUAUAUAUAUGAUUUCUUGAGUCCGAUUUCGUGUUGCUGCCAUAAAUGGGUUUGAUUUUAUAGGGUUUAAUUUCUUGGGUUUUAUGGGCUUGAUUUCUUGUACACAGAAAGAACAUUUUCUUUCAUUAAUCUCAAAGAAAAUAUAUGCUGCAUACAUAUAUAUAUAUAUGGAGAGAGAGAUUUUGUUCUUGUGAUUAUAAGGAAGUUUAGAGAGAGAGAGAGAGAGAAUGUUGGCAGUGUUUGAUCAAUCUGUGGCAAAGAGCCCAGAAGGCCUGAGGAGUCAAAGCUCUGUUUCAGAAUCAUCAGCUCUGAAAGAUGGGUCGUUGAUUCAAGACUUGUAUUCUUCGCUCCAUCCGAAUUCUGUCACCAUCAAUCUUGGACUCCCUGGUUUCAUAGCCUACUCUUCUCACAAGCAAAGCCCACUUCUUCCUCGAUUUUGGAUGUAGAAGGGGAAAAAUGAGAGAGGCAAAGAUGAAGAUAGAAAGAUAAAGCAAAGGCCAAAGAUUUUGACAAA